UGAAGCCAGUAUGGAGUGUCCAAAAAAACUGCAGCUGAUGUUUUGAUUGGUACAGACUUUCAGCCAGUGUCGUGCCAGAACAGGAGCUAGGUGCACAGCCAAUGUAACAUGAGACUCUGGAGUCUCAGGAUGGAUCAGUCAAGAUUUCUGCGUCGCAGCUUCGGGAGCGCUGUCUGCUGC